UGUGGCGUUGUAAGGGGCGCUCAUAGUCCUUCCAACAAGACACGAUUUGCUGACCCAUUAUAUGCGCAAACUCAGGACUUCGGUCGCCCUGCAAGGUGAAUGUGGCGUUGUAAGGGGCGCUCAUAGUCGUUCCAACAAGUCACGAUUUGCUGACCCAUUAUAUGCGCAAACUCGGGACUUUGGUCGCCCUGCAAGGUGAAUGUGGCGUUGUAAGGGGCGCUCAUAGUCGUUCCAACAAGGCAUUUUGCUGACAGCAAGGCGAUUUGCUGACCCAUUAGAAGCGCAAACUCGGGACUUUGGUCGCCCUGCAAGAUAAAUGCUGAAUUCAAGAGAAUAACUACAAUGCCCUUGCAGUCGAGAUUCCUGUCCCAGCUAGACAUAUUGUCUGACAAGCUGCUGAAGCUGUUCAAAAACAGAGGAGGACAGAUUGACAAACGCC